UUGUGCUAAAAAUGGGUGGUUGUCUGUUUUCCUUUUCUUGAAUCCACUCCCGCCACCUUGCAGGAUUCCGCAAAACUCAUUUCCAUUACUUUGGUUUAAUUUUUCUAUGUAAUACUGUGUUUUAUUUGUAUUACACAAUUCAGUGAAUGGAAAGCUCAGGAAGAGGCCAACGCGAACUGUUGGUUUGUACGUCGCACGGCUCCCAAAAAGCUAGCCAGUGGGCAAACAAGGACCCACUACUACUGUAAUAGAUCAGGAGUGGCUAGACCAAAAGAAGGUCAUGGUAAACAUCGAGAGAAAAAUCGGGGGACCUGCAAGUCCGGUACCAAAGAAAGCACUACGGCCAUCAAGCAGAAAUUCAGCACUUGAGGAUGACUGACGAAGAAAAGGCCAACAUAGCGGAGCGCCUGGAGCGCGGUGUGCCCAUGAAAACCGUAUUGAAAAAUAUAAGAACAUCUGUUGCUAGCAAGCUAAGGCCAGCACAUUUGGAAGAGCGCGUAACUCUGCCUAACAUCAAACGGCAGUUUCACAUUGCUGCUCCUGAACAGUGUCACACCAAUGAUGCUGUCAGUGCCGAUAUGUGGGCGAAAGCAAUGUAAGACAAAGGUGAAACACUUGUCCGUCUGUAUAAGGCACAGGGUGCAGUGGACCCAACUGGUACUUUUGGUGCCACAGAUUUUGCCCUGGUUUUGAUGACAGAGCCACAAAAAGAGCUGUUAGAAGAAUUGGGCACGGGCACUGUGUGUCUUGACUCAACACAUGGAACUACAGGGUACCAGUUUGAGCUGACCACUCUUCUAGUGCUAGAUGAAGUGGGAUCAGGUAUACCUAUAGCCUAUUUCAUCUGCAACAGGAUGAAUGAGGAAAACUUGGCAGCUUUUUUCAGGUCUCUUGAGUGUGCCAUCAACAAAGAAGUGGCUGCUAAGACAUUUAUGUCUGAUGACGCCUCACAAUUUUACAAGGCAUCGUCGUCAGUAAUGGAUGUCCUUCAGCAGAAACUUCUCUGCGCCUGGCAUGUGGAUAGGAAUUGGCAGAA